CGGGCUAGCCUCGGGGACCUCAGCUCCGCCGCUCGCCGCCGCCGCCCCUCGGCCCGGUCUCCGCGCAGGAUGCACAGAGCUACCAGAUAUCAACUGGUUGUCAUCUUCCACUCUUGCUGCAGCUAAGAGCCAGCCCAGCCUUAACUGGCAUCGUCUCUCAGACAGCCCCGGUCCUAACACAUUGUUAGGUGGGCCCUUGUCAGCAUUUUGAUGAGCAGUGUUGAUCUCGGAGGGUUGACCUUCCUGCCCCUCUCUCAGCU
rnacentral:lncRNA from 10 species